rnacentral:rRNA from 3 species
AUAUCUCGGCUCUUGCAUCGAUGAAGAACGUAGCGAAAUGCGAUACUUGGUGUGAAUUGCAGAAUCCCGUGAACCAUCGAGUCUUUGAACGCAAGUUGCGCCCGAAGCCGUCAGGCCGAGGGCACGUCUGCCUGGGUGUCACGCAACGUCGCC